UGCUUAUCUGAGUCUGAGUAGUAGUACAGGAGAUACCGGGGAGGGCUUCCUGGAUUCUGUUGGUACCAGUAUAUGUUAUAGCCUCCAACAUUGAUGUCCCUGCUCAGGGUGCAGGUGAGUCUGGCUCUGUGUCUUAUUCACAU